GGGACCUGGCUGCAGCAGUGUGCUUGUCACAUCCCUUCACCACUGCAGCCGGGACUUGGUUCUUUGCUAAAGGUUUACUUCUGUGUAGUCUGAGUGAAUUCCCUUCCAAACUGGAAAAAUAAACCCCAGCACACACAUCCAGUGUCACUUCUCAUAUGUGGCUGUUUUCAUUAGGUGUUUGGAGCUCAUUUUCAGAGCAUGAUGGUGAGAUGCCUGUGCUAGUGCUGCUCUGGCACAUGCCUUUGAGAACUGCAUUUUUCUGUUCAAUAUGUGGCUGUUUCACACCCAGGUAUCAUCUCUGGAUUUCUUGCUCUGUAACAGUUGCUUUCCAGUACAAAGGGUUGAAAGUGAGAGAGGUCCCAGGCUGCCCCAGCACCUCCCUAAUAGCAGCCAGGCGGUAGGAAAACAAGGUAUUUCAGCAUUGCGUUGCGGAGCGUCCUGAGCGUCUGUUGUUGCAGGGACAGGAACCUGAUCUGAACUCUGCACUCAGUGGAGGAGGAAUUGCAGCCACCAGCGAGGAAAGUUUAAAUACCCUCUGUGCUGGGAGACUUUCAUACCCGACUCUGUUGUGCGUAAGCGUGUAAGCACUGUGACAGUGUGACACAGUGCCUUGGGUCAGUGCGGGGAGAGGAGUUUAAAAAAGUCUGACAAAGAUUCCAGUGGUGAGGGGUCAAUGUGCUCACAAAACCAGGGGUCUCAAAUAUUGCUCUUGUUCGGCUGCCUCCCUUUGAGCAAAUUUGACUCGAAGGCUGCAAGCAGAAGUCUCUUACAGAAGACAAGAAGAAGGAUUUGGGGUUUCCAGAUAGGCUGAGGUGGAUGUGAGAUUUGCUCUGUUGUCUCUGGAUGAGAAGUCUGACACUGGAUAUGGUGAUAGCAGAGGCAAUGCGUUUGUGGAGCUGGAACCCUUGUACUGCCCCUUGUAACUCGUCCAUGGAUGUUCUUCCCACGUAUGUGCAAUUUGAUCGCCAGUGCUCUACAAAGAGCAGCUGAGGAUCGGGUGAAGCGAGCUGAUCAGAAAACUUCCCUUAAUUUCCUUGUACAAAAGCACCUUUAUUAGUUCCAAGAAGCAGGGAUUACGGCAAUAAAAAUCUAAUAUAUUGAUAAAGCAGCAGCCAGAUAAUCUUAGCAGGUAGAAAUUAGCUCAAAGUUUUAGAACAAUAAAUAUUGCUUCCUUACUCUUUCAUAAUCUGGGUUUUUUUUUUUUCUUUCAGCAGCUGUCCAGAGAGCAAAGACUUUCCCACAGAUGUUUGGGAGAGCUGGUCUGUAAAGUGUGUGUAUGUUUUCCAGAGUGAAAGGGCUACAUCUCCGUGAUGCUGUUCUGCUGCCCAUCUCGGCACAUGCAAGAGAAGUGGCAGGUUUAGGUGGAGUUGUCUCCUCUAUGUGUCCAACCAGGAGUUGCUCACAUCAUGAAGGAGGCAGCAAUGGGCGACCAAGGCACCGUGAAACCUGUUCCUUCUCUGUGCCUGUUCUGCAGGCUUUGCAGGCAGAAGAGAGAAUUAUUGACUCUGUGGCACCAGCAAAGUAUCCAGAAUCUAUAUUUUGUUUAAAGCAGAAACAGUUAUUCGUCAACAGUGCCUUAUUGUGUCAGAAGGAUUGCAUGACCUUUGGUGAAUUAUUUUCUGCUGAAGUGGGGAGCGGCAGAAAUCAUCAUGCAAGAGCUGGAGAUGCACAUCGGCUGCUGAGCUGGAGGGAGCUGCCUGGGAACAGCUACUGGUGAGCAAAGCGCCAGGGGAGCCCAUGACGAGCCAGCCAGUGUGGCCGUCACUGCUGCUACGGGGGCUGGACCACUGGCCUCUUCGAUGUCUGCCGCAGCAAGGCAAUUUGUAUGAGUUUGCGUGGCUACUUCUUACUCCCUGAAUGCCUCUGUAGUUCCCACAGCAAAGAGACGCUGAGUUAACAGCAAGCUUGAACCCGUUCCUGUUGCCUGUCCCACCCGUGGUGCCCAGUCACCAGCUGCUGCACGGGGUGACCCAGGAGGGGCUGGGCAGUGUCUGCCGCGGCCUCCCUGCAAACCGUCAGCGUGGCCCUGUGUGUUUCGGGGGUCUGCGAUGCCUCCCACUGCCCUCACCUGCGGGCAAAGGCUCCGGCAGCGAAGUGCAGCUACCUGCAACGCGGGUGCCCCAGCCAGGGACCCAAGCAUGGCUAAAAGCUGCGAGGAGGUAGAUCUGUGUUUUGUGUGGCAUAAAAGGGGUUCAGUUGUUGCUCCUCUGAUCUUUAAGCAGUGGCUGUUAGAGUAAUUUCUGAUCCAUUAAGCAGAGAUAUGUGUCUAACAGGAAGAAUUUUUAUUUCUUUUGAUGUUUUAUUUCUUUAGUAGCAGAUUGGGUUUUUGCAUCCUUUUUUCUCUUUAUUUGGGCGGGGGUCACAUUACUUUCUUCCAGGUUUCUUUUAUGUCUUUCAUAAUGUGUAAGGAGGAAAAAAAUCAUCACCACUAAUUUGCAUUAAGGACGUGAGUUAGAUUCAAAGGCGCAGAGCACUUCUUCUGAAAAUAGUUCUUUGGGUUUUGUUCUGACACCACUCUAAAAGCUGGGCUACUUAUUUGAUGGAGGGAGGUUUAUAAUGCUCCUUGGCUGAAUACAUGGGAGAAGGGGUCUUCCAGACCCAAAACAACUGAGGGGGCAAAGCAGCCGGGGCUGGUGCAGUGGCAGCGCUGGGGCAGGAGGGUCUGCAGGGAGCCCAGCAGUGCUGGGGACCUUGGAC